UCUUCAUAUCUGUUCCCUGCAGAAGCA
rnacentral:piRNA from 2 species